rnacentral:lncRNA from 1 species
UCUCACUCCUUGAAAAUUGAUACACGAGCAUAGGGAAACAAAACAGCUGCUGAUAACAAAACACAACACACACGUUUUCUCUUUUCCAAAAUCAGCACACGUUUCUUCUUCUUCUUCCUCUUAUCAUCAUCACCACCGCCAACCCUCUCCCCCCAUCCAUCGGAGACCAAGCAUCUCACCAUCUCCUCUUCACAUUCCACCCAAAUAGACUCUUUCACCGCCUCCUCUUCAUCCAAAACUGCUUCGGCUUCUUCACACAACCUAUCACCGAUCUUCCAAACCACCGGCGGCGCCAUGAACGACAAUUUUUCAGAUGCUUAACUUUUCAGGGUUCGACAUUUCUUGCUGGCUUUGAACUCAGUGGCUGAUCCAUAACUGAAAGUCACAGUGGCUACCCAUUUCGGCAACGAUUCAAUUUUGACUGUUAAGAUCAAAGUGAUGAUGCUUUUUUUUGUGUUGAAAGAGUCUAUACAAACGAACCUAUCGAAGCUGCAAACUUACCACAUGGAGUUGGACAUCUUUAAUGAAUGAAUAUUUGAUGGAUUGAGUCUUGGAGCAAAAGAAAGGGGUUUUGGAGCUGAUUUGGUGCGAAAAUACGAAGAUUCGGAGACAAAAAUAUAUCUCCCUCAAGUCAGAAGCUUGGCAAGGCCCGUGCUAAGGUUGGCACGGCUGUGCCACCUCCCAGACAGCCUUUUGCUGCUUUUGCUUAGAUUCUAAGCUACUCUAUUUGGUUUUACCACAAAGCCCUUUUCUUGUGGAACAUUCUAGUGAUGUAAUUGCUUAGAUUUUAAGUCGAAUGUUACCUAUAAAUAGAGUAGCUACCCAUCACAAAUAUUCAUCUUUUCCUUGGA